GUCCGUGGCAACCUUAACCCUUGCUUCUCACGGGGGCGCUCUUCAUACCCUUCUUUCUUUCCUUUGCCUAUCAACUUACCAGCUGGAAAACUAUGCCAAGUUACCCCUUGGCGAGGCCGCAGGGUGAACACUUAGACCUGUACCCACUUCCAGGGCUCGGAAAGCUUGAGCAAGUUUGAGCAACUCACAGAAUCUUAGCCACUGAAAUCCUACACUAGCACAUUGUUGUGAAGGUUUGAAAAAUAAAUGAGCUGUCUGUGUGUUCUUCCUUGAGGAGGUAUAAAUGUGAGUGUUGCCAAACACAAUCUACAUAAAGAUUGUUGGUUGUAAAGGGUGAUGGAGAUCUCCAGCUGUGGGGAGACUGCUGAAGCACUCUGAAGGAACUAGAAGCAAGUACCUACUCAUUUGCAAGACCCAGCAACGGAAGCAUCAUAUGCUAUAUUAAGGUUAUGCUGUCCUGAGUCCCCAAAAGCAGCUAAUUGUGCUCUGUUUAGACAGACAUUUCUCCCAGUACCACUAACACUUUGUCACUCAAAUUUGCUUAUCUCCCUCUCCUGGACUCUUUGAGGAUACAAUCUGUAUCUUAAUUGCCUAUGACCACUCAGAAUCUAACUUAGUCCCAGGCACAUACUAUCUGUUCCAUAAAUUUACUGAACAAAUGAAUGAAUUACAUAGCAGAUAACACAUUGAUUUUGAUAAGAGAAAAAAAUACUAACAGGCAAUUUUCAGAGGAGAAAACACAAAUGCUUAGUAAGCAUAGGAAAGAUGCUCAAAUUUACAAGUUUCAGGAAAAUGAAACACACACACACACACACAACACCAAGAAACCAAUGAUUUAAAGUGUCAAAGGUGGAAAAGAUGGAUAACUUCGAGUGUUGGCCAGGAUGUGUGGAAUACUACAGAAUUAGUAGGAAAAUGAAAUAUUACUACUGUUCUUGCAAGCAAUUUGAUAAGUCAUUAAAAUGUAAAAUGUGCAUACUCUUUGACCUAGAAACUUCUGGGAAUUUAUAUGGCAGAAGUAAAAGUGCAGCACAUCAGGAUUAAUACACAAGUUUAUUUAUUACAGAAUUGUUUUAGUAGCAGUUUCUCCCUAAACAAACAAAACAAGAUGACAACAAACAUACAAACAAAAACACUUCUGGAAAACGAAAUCCUUAUCAAUAAAAUAAUCAGUAUAUAAAAUUAUGACAUAUCUAUAUUGUGGAAAAAUACAGAGAAUGAAGUACACCUACGUACAAUGAUACAGAUUAAAAUACAUGUAUAUCUUCUUAUUCAAGCAAAAGAGAAAUCUGGAAAGAUAACAUUUUCAGAGGAGAGAAGACUGAUUUUGCUUCUUAUACUUAUAAAGAAUUUAAAUUGUUUUUUAAAUGUUUUAAAGUAAAUAGCUGUUUAAUAUGUGGAAAAAUACAGAAACUAUGACACUUGUCUACCCAUCUCUUAAGUAUAUAAAAUGGCAAUAUUUUGACAUAUUUUCUUCAGCUCUCUUUUUCAAAAGCGAGUCGUGUCACACAGAUAAAGUCAUUUCACCCACAUCCCUGUUCAAUUUCCUCCUCCCACUCUCCCCAGAGGUAACCACUGUCUUGAUGUGAGGAUGAAUUCUUCCUGGGCCUGAUUCUAUAAUUUGCAUGUGCAUAUGUAUGUAUUCAUAAACAAUAGAGAUCUCUUUUUGUGUGUUCAUAUAAUUGGUUUCAUUCUUACCUGUCAUUCUGAUACUUGUUUUUUGUGCUCAAGGUUUCUUUUCAGCAUUAUCUAUGUUGAUGUUAUUAAUUCAUUUGUAUUGCCUAAAGUGUUCUAUUGUAUAAACUUACCACAAUUUAUUCAUUCUGCUAUGAAUGGAGAUGAAUGAUGCAUGUUGUUGUUUAUAUCUUCUUGUGUGCACAUGCCAGAGUUUCUCCAGGUUUUGUAGCUAGAAGUGGAAUUGUAGGAUCACAGGCCAUUUCUUUUGGAAGGUUUUCUCUGUUCCCCACCUUUUAACCCUUUGACUGGUUUGGUAUUACAACUGUUUUCUUAUUUAUUUAGUAAUUAUUCUUACAUUUUUAACAUGCAUACUUAACUCUAAAGAACUAAUAUAAUCAAUAGGCCUGACUUCAUCUUGAAUAAUAAGAGCAACUUGCAACACUUGAAUUCAAAUUACUGCGCUUCUCUUCUUAUCUUCCAUGCUGUGGCUGUGAAGUACUUUAAUUUAACCUUCUUUUCGAAUCAUUUCACCCUAAAUUAGUCUUUCUUUUUGUUGUUUUUACAGUCAAUGUUUAUUUAGAUUUAUGCAGAUGUUUUCCAAUGCCUUCGUUCACCCGUUUCUUAUAUCCUCCUCCUUCCUUCCAUGUUCAAUUUACUUAUUUCUAAAACACAUCCAGUC
rnacentral:lncRNA from 1 species